rnacentral:rRNA from 1 species
GACGAACGCUGGCGGCGUGCUUAACACAUGCCAGUCGAACGAUGACGACCGAGCUUGCUCGGUCUGAUUAGUGGCGAACGGGCGAGUAACACGUGAGCAACCUGCCCUUCACUCUGGGAUAACCUCGGGAAAUCGGGGCUAAUACCGGAUAUGAGCUCCUGUCGCAUGGCGGGUGUUGGAAAGUUUUUCGGUGAAGGAUGGGCUCGCGGCCUAUCAGUUUGUUGGUGAGGUAGUGGCUCACCAAGGCGAUGACGGGUAGCCGGCCUGAGGGGGCGACCGGCCACACUGGGACUGAGACACGGCCCAGACUCCUACGGGAGGCAGCAGUGGGGAAUAUUGCACAAUGGGCGAAAGCCUGAUGCAGCGACGCCGCGUGAGGGAUGACGGCCUUCGGGUUGUAAACCUCUUUCAGCAGGGAAGAAGCGAAAGUGACGGUACCUGCAGAAGAAGCGCCGGCUAACUACGUG